UACGGAGGAUGCAAGCGUUAUCCGGAUUUAUUGGAUUUAAAGGGUGCGCAGGUUGUUUGAUAAGUCAGUGGUGAAAGUCUGUCGCUUAACGGUAGGAUUGCCAUUGAUACUGUUAGACUUGAAUAUGGAUGAGGUAGGCGGAAUGUGUAGUGUAGCGGUGAAAUGCAUAGAUAUUACACAGAACACCGAUUGCGAAGGCAGCUUACUAAUCCAUCAUUGACGCUGAGGCACGAAAGCGUGGGGAUCAAA
rnacentral:rRNA from 1 species